rnacentral:lncRNA from 1 species
UUGCCCUGCUCAAUGGGGUAAGGAUCCAGCAUUGCCAUGAGCUGCAUUGUAGGUUGCAGACAUUGCUUGGAUCUGGUAUUGCUGUGGCUGUGGCAUAGGUUGGCAGCUGCAGCUGCAUUUCAAUCUCUAGCCUGGGAACCUCCAUAUACCACACUUGUGGCCCCUUCACCCCCCAAAAAAACACUAUGUCAACUAGGAUUCUACUGGUUAUAAAUGACAGAAAGCCCAGCAGAGAUGGCUUAUGUGCAUUGCACCAUCUGGAGCUAGAACUGGCUUCAGGGCUAUGCAGGGUCAUUUCCCAUUCCUCCUCCAGAGCCACUUGCUACCUUUCCUCUCCCUGACCUCUGUCCCUGGAGCCUGUGUUCUGAGCUGCAUCAGCAGGGCUCCCAUAACCUCUAGCCACUGCCUGUGUACCCAGUGGGAAAAGCCAGCAGAAAUGUGAAGGGAGAGAGCAAAGGGGGAUCAAAGUAUUUAUUCCUCCACCUCCCUCCCUGCAAAGUCACUCUGGGUGACCUCAAUUUGAGGUCAUGGUUUUUCAAGGUGAUUUUUCAAGUCUCUACAUGACCUUCUUCUUGCUGGUUCUGGUAGCCACUCCCUCCCACACCCUUUCGGACCCACAAGUGAUAACAGUUCACUGUCACUGGCCUAGGGUCCCUGCAGUAUGUUUGCACUUGGUGGUUGGACACCUACACCUUGGCCCACAGUGAGUGGUCCCUUUGCUCAUAUUGUCUGGUUCAAGUCAAUCAUUUAUUUCCUGUCAGAGCCUGAUUCUCAUGAGAUCUCUAAUGUGUCUUUCCUGUUGGGACUUUGCCUCUCCAUCUCUUGAAUCCAUCUUUUGCUGAACUGACUUCAAUCUUAAGUUAUAGGCUCUGCAGUAACAGCUGUAGCCCCUGGCUUCUCUUGGUUUCAGGACCCUAGGAAAAACAGAGUCUCAUUCCAGAAAGGAUUAUCCAAAUUCCCAUUUCCUCUCAGUGGCUAUAAGGGAGAGCCGUGUGCCCCUCUCUGAGCCCAUGACAGUGACCAGGGGAAAUCCCUGUGCUGUCUCAAGUCCUGUGCUCCAUCCUGGGCAAACGGUGUGGAAGAGAGCAGUUCUGCAGGGGAAAGUCAACGGGCCUUUACUGUCAUACGGCGACUUAUAAGAAAUAUGUAUUUGGCCUUUGUCUUUGUUUCUGGCACAGAAUUCCUAAAACCAUUAUAAAUCCCUGAGCAAGGGGAAUGAUUAGGUUAAAUGAGGUGACUUUUGGACUGAACCUAGGCUGGGGAAUGGCUGCCAAAAUAACCAACCUUGUGAUUAGAGGGUCAGAACUUUCAGUCUCAACCCCCUGACCUCCUGGGAGUAGAGAGGGGCUGGAGGUUGAAUUAAUAGUCAAUGGCCAAUGAUUUCAUUUAUCAUGCCUAUUUAGUGAAGCCUCUAUAGAAACCUUAUAGGACUGGGGUCAGAGAGCUUCCAAGUUGGUGAUCACAUGGAGAUUUGGGGAGAGUGGUGCUCAGGGAGAACGUGACAAGCUCUGUCCCCUUUCCACACACCGUGUCCUGUGCCUCUCUUCCGUUUCGCUGUCCCUGCGUUACCUCCUUUUGUAAUAAACCGGAUCCCCUCCGACUCAGCCCUCUACCUAUGGAAGCUGAUGCUGUUUCUGGGUAGGCAGUAUCAGAAUCGAGUUGACUCCUAGGACACAUGGCUAGUGUUGGACAAUUGCUUGGUGGUGUGGGAGGAAAAAUCUAUAUGUUGUACUUGAGUGCAGAAUAUUAGUUACCAGAAAGAGGGUAACUGGAAGUUGCUUGGGAAAAAGUCACAGUUGCAUGGCAGUCAUCUUCCUAAGAUCUCACAGCAGAUAGGGACUCAUGUGUUUGCCCAACUCUAAGCCUCAGUUCUUCCCAGUACUCUGUCCUCAGCCUCUUUCCCCAGGCGGACUUUCUGCUGGGACGCCAGGUCUCGCUCUCUCAGGACAGAGAGUCCUGUAAAUGUUAGAGCAGAAGCCAUCCUGAGAGCCAUGUCAGGCAGAAGGGCAGCCCAUGCUGGGGUAGGGAAGGAGGAUGGCAUGAAGGAACCACACCCUCCAGGUCAACUGAGUGUGGAUCUGCCCUGUCACUUUCCACUUCCCCAGAUGUGGCCGAGCCCAACCAGAUAUCUGCCACAGAAGACAGGCAGACUGGACAAGUCAGAUUUAAGGACCAGCUCAGGAAGGAACCAAUGUGGCAGGAGUGUGGGGAGGAAGUUGAGUGAGGCAGGCAGGCAGAGUGUGAUUGCAGGAAGCCAGGGUGACAGCGUUCAGAGCCAAUGUGGGAAUAAGCAUGGGUGAGCCUACCUCCAAAGUCCAGGAAAGCUGGCCGGGCAUGAGUCAGCCUCCAAGAGAACAAUUGCCUGGAAAGCUAUGCUUUGAAACAAAUCCCAGAAGAGUUAUAAUAUUGACUGUACUGGUGCUAGUCAGGAUUGGUUAGAAGUCUUUCAGAAAGUACUAAGCCCCCGAAUGAGUGACUACAUAAACGAAUCAAUGAACGGGAUAAAUGAUCUCUAAGAUCUCACCCAUCCCUAAAAUGCCACAAAAUCCUUCAGAGGGUAAAGCACAUUUGGGCCAUUUGAGGGAACAGGGCACAGGAAGAAGUGCCUGACGAGCUGAAAGGCUUCUGAGAAAAGAUGAUUCUGUAGCUUUCAGAGUACCACUGCUGGUGCCAUCUUUCUUUGGCCCUUAAAUGUAGGACUCUUCUGUUUUGGUUGUUGUUAGAGCCAAAGCCCAUUGCCUUUAGGCCAGACUUACAGACCCAACAGACAUUCAGAGUAUGUGUGAUUUCAAGAAAGAAAAUAGCUCCUCAGUUCUCCUUAAUUGUAUACCUCUUUUUAAUUAUAAGAGAAUUAUAUAAUCAUUAUAAAAAUUAGAAUAUUACAGCAAAUAUUAUCUCACUCAAGAGUCAACCACUGAGGAGUUCCUUGGUGCCUCAGUGGGUUAAGGAUCCAGUGUGUCAGUACUGUGGCUCUGGUCACUUCUGUGGUUCAAGUUCAAUCCCUGGCCCAGGAUCUUCCUCAUGCCAUGGAUACAACCAAAAAAAAAAAAGCAAAGCAAAAGAGUCAACCCAGACACAUUCUUCCCAGAAUAUUUCUUAAGCAUAUUUUAUUACACAUUAUUACUGAUAAUUUUUUCCGAAAUUUGUUCUUCUUGAUUUUGCUUAACAUUAUGUCACAAGCAUUUACCCAUGCCAUGAAAAUACCUUCAGAAGGUAGUAUUAAGUUACUACAGAAUGUUCCCUCCUAUAUAGAUGAGUCAUAAUCUACAUAAUCAAUCCCAGAUCAGACAUUCAGAUUAUAUCCAAGGUUCAUUAUAAUAAUAAGCAUCCCUGAUAUAAGCUUGUAUGCACAUAAAGCUCUAUUUGCAUUUCAGAUCAGGUCUUGAGGCCAGAUUUGAGGAAGAGGAAUUACUGGUCAAAUGUCAUGAACAGUUUUCAAGCUCUUGCUAUUCAAGGCUAGUUUAUAUUCCAAGUGACAUUGCCCCAGUGUGGGCUUCACCGGCAGAACAUGGGACAUUGAUCUUUAUGGGCUGCUCACUGUCUUUAUGUUCUCUCUCUUUCCCUUAACUUUGCCAGUUUACCCUGUUAUCCCUUUGUCUUCAUCUAAACCUAUCUUCCAGAUCAGAGAGACCUGGGGAAGGAAUGGAAAGAGAAAUGGAUUUGUUGCAUUGAGCCCCUCUCUUGCUACCCAGCAGGGAAAGCAAUGCUACCUCAGGCCCUGGAGUUUUAAUUAACCUCCAUAAGCAGGAAUCUGAUCCCUGAAGUUAGUCAUUGCUCCAAGCUCCAUACCAGACCCCUAGGAGAAAAAGAGAGAGAGAGACUGUACAAGUGGUUUACAAUGGCUGGACUUGACCAUGCGUAUAAGAAAUGGCCAUAUAAGGUGUGGUGUUAACCUUCUGGACAGGGAGGUCACAUGACUUCCUUUAGCUCAUGAGCAAGGGGUGAAAGAGCCCGUUAGACUUAGAGAAACACACUCAGUUGGCCUUCCAAGAGCUCGCAUCAGGAGCAGAUAUCCUCUGUGAUAUGUGACAGUUCAGGUCCAGGCACAAGCCUGCAUAGCCAAGGACCCAGAGAGGCCAGCUUGUAUGCAGCUCAGACAAACAUCCUGAUCAAAUGGACUCCAGUGUGGAAAUUACAACCAGGAGAAGUAGAGCUUAGAAGGAAGGCAGCAGUCUGCUGGAAUGGGAUAGAACUCUUAGAUUGCUUUGGAGGAGCUCCCAUCACGGCUCAGUGGUAAUGAACCUGACUAGUAUCCAUGAGGAUGCAGGUUCAAUUCCU